rnacentral:rRNA from 1 species
AGACGUCUACAUUAGAUACCCCUGUAGUCCCAGCCGUAAACGAUACUCGCUAGGUGUCGGCCACGGUGCGACCGUUGUCGGUGCCGUAGGGAAGCCGUGAAGCGAGCCACCUGGGAAGUACGGCCGCAAGGCUGAAACUUAAAGGAAUUGGCGGGGAGCACCACAACGGGUGGAGCUUGCGGUUUAAUUGGACUCAACGCCGGGAAGCUCACCGGAUAAGACAGCGGAAUGAUUGCCGGGCUGAAGACUCUGCAUGACUAGCUG